rnacentral:lncRNA from 1 species
UGACCCAGGUCAUGUACCAUGGAGACACAACCUGAGAGUUUUUAAAAAAUCACCUUAACAGGGAUCCCUGGGUGGCGCAGCGGUUUGGCGCCUGCCUUUGGCCCAGAGUGCGAUCCUGGAGACCCGGGAUCGAAUCCCACGUCGGGCUCCUGGUGCAUGGAGCCUGCUUCUCCCUCUGCCCCUCUCUCUCUCUCUCUCUCUCUCUGUGACUAUCAUAAAAAAAUUAAAAAAAAAAUCACCUUAACAGAAUAGGUGACUAUUCAGGGUUUAUACCACAUCUGUGCACCUAGAUCUUCACACUGAUGCUAGACUCCCCUAGGCUAUCAUUGGAUGUUUGAAAAUUAAAUCCAGUUAGUCUGAAACUCAUUCUGAUUCCUCAGGUUUCACUGACCUGUUUUUCUGCUGUACUAUGAAAACCAUACAGUCUGGACAGUCCUAGGAAAAAACGAAGAAAGCCACUGGUUUAUAUUUGAAGAAGGAAAGCAGAGGCCUCAGUUCAUUAAUUUAUUUCUUCACUUAUUCACUCACUGACUCAUUCAUUCAUUCAUCCACCUGACACUCACUGAGCUACUUCUCUGUCUAGACACCAUGUUAGAUACUAGAGACUGACAGAUAAGGCCUUUUUGACAUGCCCGUCCCCACUGAUUGUUGCCAGAUUACAGUAUGAGCAAAGAUUCGGAGGAGGCAGGAAAUGGUCAUGGCAUGAGGAGAUCACAGUCAGGAGAUAUGUCUUAGGAAGGGUGAGUGUUAGGAAGUAUUGAAGGAUGUGCAUCAAAGCCAAUGAUAGAAUGGGAGUCAACAUCUGCUUUGGUUUCCACAGCACGCUGUCCUGUAAUUAUCAGUGGUGGAUGUUUUGCAAGGACCUCCCAGUUCUUUGGGCUGCAUCUGAGCCGAUCACCGGUGGAUGACCCUACACCAUGUGGUCCAGUGAAGGAAUGAGAUACAGAGCUCCUUGUCCUGGAGAAGGGUAAGCGGCACUGUGAUAGAUGAAAUCCAAGUAUGGAAUGGUAGAUUGGACUUAGCCCUUCCAAAUCUGUGAUUCAGUAUCAUUACCCUGAAAGCCCCAGGGCUAACAAUAAUAAUCCUUGGACACAGAAGCCACGCUGGGAAGGCAGAAGCAUGGAAUACAGACUCUGAGCCAGAGGACACCCAUUAACUCACAGAAUCCCAGAGCAUCGUAACCAAAGGAGACACUGGCCCAGCUCUCUGCACCAACCAUGAAAGUCUUCCUCUCCCCUCUACAGCCUACUAAUGAGGACAGCCCCAGAAAUUUGGAAAAGGAUAAACACCAUGCCUGUUCUGCUCUGAGAACCUUUGAAAAGUUAUAUCUUGGUGGGUUCUGGAGUGUGGCCCAGGCCUGGAGUAGGUCCUAGGAAGCACUCUUCCAGAUUCCUGCUGGACUGGACAUUGUAGGAAUGAAGACAACUGACAAAAUGAAGGCGGGGAACUUAACAGGACUCUGGCUAAAAUGCAUAGAGAGAAAUAAUUUACUUCAAAAAUUAACCACUGAAAAGCAAGUAAAUAUUAUCAACAAGUGAGCAACAGGCGAAGUGGACCCCGUUACUGAUUUCUGGAGCAGAGGUAAAGUGGGUGGGGUGGGGAAGGACUGCACUUUGGAGCUGAGUAGCUUUUUUUUUUUUAAAGCAUUUUAUUUAUUUAUUUAUUCAUGAGAGACAGAGAGAAAGAGAGAGAGAGAGGCACAGGCAGAGGGAGAAGCAGCAGGCUCCAUGCAGGGAACCCGAUGCAGGACUCGAUCCCGGGACUCCAGGACCAUGGCCUGGGCUGAAGGCAGGCACCAAACCACUGAGCCACCGAGGGAUCCCCAGCUUUUUUCUUUUCUUUUUUUUUUUAAGAUUUUAAAAAUUUAUUCAUGAAAGACACAGAGACAUAGGCAGAGAGAGAGGCAGGCUCCCUCUGAGAGCCCAAUGCGGGACUCAAUCCUGGGACCCCAGGAUCAUGCUCUGAGCCAAAGGCAGACACUCAACCACUGAGCCACCCAGGUGUCCUGUGGAGCUGAGUAGCUUUGAGUGGAAAUUCUGGGUCAUCACUGUCUCUAGGUGACUUGACAGGGUAGUCACCUGUGUCUUUCUUGCUUCCUUAUCUAUAACUGGUAAAUAUUCGUGUCUCCCUUUCAGAGCAAUGAGGUGACAAAUGUACAUGUACAUACAUGGUAUAUAGUAGUAGGUGUUCAGUAAAUUCCAAAAUCUUUCCCUUCUCCUCAAGGGUAACAGAAUGUCUAAUUCCUAAAAAAGCAAAAUGUUGUAUGACAUCAAGAACAACUAAAAACAUUAAGCAAAAAAUUUAGGAAAUUGUUUACAGCUUUCCAUAGAUCAAGUAUUGGAGUGAGGACCAAGAGCUACUGUUUAUCAUCCACCAUG